rnacentral:rRNA from 1 species
UACGUAGGGUGCGAGCGUUGUCCGGAAUUACUGGGCGUAAAGAGCUCGUAGGUGGUUUGUCGCGUUGUUCGUGAAAUCUCACGGCUUAACUGUGAGCGUGCGGGCGAUACGGGCAGACUGGAGUACUGCAGGGGAGACUGGAAUUCCUGGUGUAGCGGUGGAAUGCGCAGAUAUCAGGAGGAACACCGGUGGCGAAGGCGGGCUUCUGGCUAAUUACUGACGCUGAGGUGCGAAAGCUAGGGGAGCGAACGGG